AACGAACGCUGGCGGCGUGCUUAAGACAUGCAAGUCGAACGAGAAAGCCACCUUCGGGUGGCAAGUAAAGCGGCGCACGGGUGAGUAACGCGUGGGUAAUGUGCCUUCGGGUUCGGGAUAACUCCGGGAAACUGGGGCUAAUACCGGAUGAGACUUCGAAGCCUCCGGGCUUUGCGGAAAAAGGUGGCCUCUCGACGAAGCCACUGCCUGAAGAUCAGCCCGCGUCCCAUUAGCUUGUUGGUGGGGUAACGGCCUACCAAGGCUCCGAUGGGUAGCUGGUCUGAGAGGACGAUCAGCCACACUGGAACUGAGACACGGUCCAG
rnacentral:rRNA from 1 species